rnacentral:rRNA from 1 species
AGCAGCCGCGGUAAUUCCAGCUCCAAUAGCGUAUAUUAAAGUUGUUGCAGUUAAAAAGCUCGUAGUUGAAUUUCGGGGUUAGUAGGUUGGUCAUGCCUCUGGUAUGUACUGGUCUCACUGAUUCCUCCUUCUUUAUGAACCGUAAUGCCAUUAAUUUGGUGUUGCGGGGAAUUUGGACUGUUACUUUGAAAAAUUAGAGUGUUUAAAGCAAGCUAACGCUUGAAUACAUUAGCAUGGAAUAAUGAAAUAGGACGUUCGAUCUUAUUUUGUUGGUUUCUAGGAUUGACGUAAUGAUUAAUAGGGAUAGUUGGGGGCAUUAGUAUUCAAUUGUCAGAGGUGAAAUUC